AGAACGAACGCUGGCGGCAGGCCUCAAACAUGCAAGUCUAGGGGGCGUAGCAAUACGUCACCGGCGGACGGGUGCGUAACACGUGGGAAUGUACUUACUGGUUCGGAACAACUCAGGGAAACUUGAGCUAAUACCGAAUGUGCCCGAAAGGGGAAAGAUUUAUCGCCAGUAAAUCAGCCCGCGUCCGAUUAGCUAGUUGGCGGGGUAAAGGCCCACCAAGGCGACGAUCGGUAGCUGUUCUGAGAGGAAGAUCAGCCACACUGGGACUGAGACACGGCCCAGACUCCUACGGGAGGCAGCAGUUGGGAAUCUUGGACAAUGGGGAAACCCUGAUCCAGCCAUGCCGCGUGAGUGAUGAAGGCCUUCGGUUGUAAAACUCUUUCGACGGGGACGAUAAUGACGGUACCCGUAGAAGAAGCUCCGGCUAACUUCGUGCCAGCAGCCGC
rnacentral:rRNA from 1 species